rnacentral:rRNA from 1 species
UACGUAGGGUGCGAGCGUUGUCCGGAAUUAUUGGGCGUAAAGGGCUCGUAGGCGGUCUGUCGCGUCGGGAGUGAAAACUCAGGGCUUAACCCUGAGCCUGCUUCCGAUACGGGCAGACUAGAGGUAUGCAGGGGAGAACGGAAUUCCUGGUGUAGCGGUGAAAUGCGCAGAUAUCAGGAGGAACACCGGUGACGAAGGCGGUUCUCUGGGCAUUACCUGACGCUGAGGAGCGAAAGUGUGGGGAGCGAACAGG